UAAUAAGUGUUUUAUGGCACUUUUUAAAUCCAUAUCCCACCUUGUGUGCAAUGUCAGUCGAUCUUCUUUCAUGGAGGAUCGACCAAACAUCAACCUUUAUCUUUUAACAUCUUUGUCUGAAAAAUAUUAUGAAUAAACAAUUCAAAAUA
rnacentral:misc_RNA from 1 species